UACAGAGGUCUCAAGCGUUGUUCGGAUUCAUUGGGCGUAAAGGGUGCGUAGGUGGCGCUGUAAGUCGGGUGUGAAAUUUCGGAGCUUAACUCCGAAACUGCAUUCGAUACUGCGGUGCUUGAGGACUGGAGAGGAGACUGGAAUUUAUGGUGUAGCAGUGAAAUGCGUAGAGAUCAUGAGGAAGACCAGUGGCGAAGGCGGGUCUCUGGACAGUUCCUGACACUGAGGCACGAAGGCCAGGGGAGCAAACGGGG
rnacentral:rRNA from 1 species